rnacentral:rRNA from 1 species
UGAAGGCCGUGAGGUUGUAAAGUUCUUUUCGGGAGGAGGAAUAAGGUUUGCAGGGAAUGGCAGACUGAUGACGUUAAUCCCGGAAUAAGCCCCGGCUAACUACGUGCCAGCAGCCGCGGUAACACGUAGGGGGCAAGCGUUGUUCGGAAUCAUUGGGCGUAAAGGGCGUGCAGGCGGUGUUGCAAGUCUGGCGUGAAAGAUCUCGGCUUAACCGAGGGAACGCGCUGGAAACUGUAAUACUAGAGUACAGGAGGGGACAUUGGAAUUCCAGGUGUAGGGGUGAAAUCUGUAGAUAUCUGGAAGAACACCGGUGGCGAAGGCGAAUGUCUGGCCAUGUACUGACGCUGAGACGCGAAGGUGCGGGGAGCAAACAGGUUUAGAUACCCUGGUAGUCCGCACAGUAAACGAUGUACACUAGGUGGUGGGUAAUUAUAUUCGCUACCGUAGCUAACGCAUUAAGUGUACCGCCUGGGGAGUAUGCUCGCAAGGGUGAAACUCAAAGGAAUUGACGGGGGCCCGCACAAGCGGUGGAGCAUGUGGUUUAAUUCGAUGAUACGCGAGAAACCUUACCAGGGCUUGACAUAUAUUGGACGAAGUUAGAGAUAACUUUUCCCUUCGGGGUCGAUAUACAGGUGCUGCAUGGCUGUCGUCAGCUCGUGCUGUGAAGUGUUGGGUUAAGUCCCGCAACGAGCGCAACCCU